UGCAUUGUCUCAGUACUUGCUUUUACAAGGCGAAACCGCGAAUGGCUCAUUAAAUCAGUUAUGGUUCACUAGAUCGUAUGAAUUACAUGGAUAACUGUGGUAAUUCUAGAGCUAAUACAUGCAUCCAGCUCGGCUGCCUUGUGCAGCGAGCGCAGUUAUUAGAACAAAACCAAUCCGGCUUCUGUCGGUAAAUUGGUGACUCUGAAUAACCGAAGCGGAGCGCUAAGGUCUCGUACCGGCGCCAGAUCUUUCAAGUGUCUGACUUAUCAGCUUGUUGCGAGGUUAUGUUCCUCGCAUGGCUGUUACGGGUGACGGGGAAUCAGGGUCCGAUUCCGGAGAGGGAGCCUGAGAAACGGCUACCACAUCCAAGGAAGGCAGCAGGCGCGCAAAUUACCCACUCCCGGCACGGGGAGGUAGUGACGAAAAAUAACGAUGCGAGAGCUUUUUGCUUUUCGUAAUCGGAAUGGGUACACUUUAAAUCC
rnacentral:rRNA from 1 species